rnacentral:rRNA from 1 species
GACCUCAUCAGCCGCCUCCCCGACGAGGUACUCGGUACCGUCAUCUCCCUCCUCCCCACCAGGGACGGCGCGCGCACGCAGGUCCUCUCGCGCCGGUGGCGUCCCCUCUGGCUCUCGUCCAAUGCGCCGCUCAACCUCGGCGCUGACUUCGCCCUCCGCGGGGAGGAGUGCACCCUCUGCGGUGCCACCCACGAGUGCAUGCACAAGCGCAUCGCCUUCGUCUCCAAGAUCCUUGCCAACCACCCGGGCCCGACCCGACGCUUUGCACUCCACCUCGUAUACUGGCCCAACAUCCCGGGCGUUGUCGAUGGCUGGUUCCGCUCCAGGCCCCUCUCCGGCCUCCAGGACCUCGAGGUCGUCAACAAAUCGAGCCGCUACGUGCUGCUGCCGUCGCACGCGCUGAUCCGCUUCGCGCCCACGCUUUGCCUGCUCAGCCUCAGCCAGUGUCGAUUUCCGGACCUGGGUGUGCCACCGAGUUUUCCGCACCUCAAAGAGCUUAUCAUGUACGAUGUCGGUAUCUCGGAGGACUCUUUCAAAACCUUCAUCUCCAGGUGCUCUGUUUUGCAAAGCGUUUCACUGCACAACAUGGAAUGUGGCCGCGUUUGCAUCAACUCGCCGACUAUCAGGAGCAUGAGCUUCUACGGCCGUUGGAGAAGUGUCAUCACUUUUCAGGAGCUGGUCAUUGAGGAUGCCCCUUCCCUUGAGAGGUUGGUACCACUUGAUCCAGACGGUGGUCCAGCGACCAUCCACAUAAUCCAGGCACCUAAACUGAAGAUACUUGGUUUGUUAUCUGGAGGCAUAUCCACACUCCGCAUUGGAACCACGGUUUUUCAGGUUAGCUGCAAGCCCAAUCGGUCGGGUCAUUCAUCGUUUUCUACAUGCAUGGUAUUAUUCUCAUAUCACACUUGUUGUCCUUUUCUCCAGAAAAUGGUUGCCGUCAGCUUGAUAACCAAAAUGCACACAGUUAAGAUUUUACUUCUUGACUCUAUUGGUCCUAAUCUGGACUCAGUUGUUAACUUCCUCAAGUGCUUCCCUUGCUUGGAGAAGUUGUAUGUCAUUGUUUUGCAUUCAGAAAAGGAUAUUAACAAUGUGCGGGAGUAUGACCCACUUGAUCCAAUUGAAUGCCUUGAACUCAAUCUAAAAAAGGUGGUGUUGAAGAAUUACGAUGGUAUCAAGAGGGCAAUAAUUAAUUUUGCCAAGUUCUUUAUUUUGAAUGCCAAAGUGCUGGAGGAAAUGGAAAUCGGAGUCCUCGGCCAUGGCAAUGACAAACGGAUGCAGUAUCUACAUGAAGAGCUACAGGUGGAGAAUAGAGCUUCUCAAGAUGCACAAAUUGAACUAAAGAGGGAUGUACGACAAGAUUUCAAACACCAUAGGCAUACCCAUGAUUUUUCGGUGGCGGACCCUUUUGAUAGG